CCCCCUAAAGCUGCUUUGGGGGCCACACCCAGCUGCUUUCUGACUUCUCACACUGUUUGGUUCACAGGACUCUGUUACCCAUUGGGGACCUCUUGGCCAUUAUUAACACAGGCCAACAGGACUAAAAGUUUGCAUCAGUCCUUCCCAAAACAUUAGGGAAGUUUGUGCGGGAAGGUAAAGCACAAUUUUUGCCUUACAAUAGGACUCCUUUGAAACUACUAUUGAUUUCCCUUUUAAAUAGCCCUUCAGAACUGCUUUUAAUAAUGUGUUGUUUCUGGGGGUUAAUAGUGAUAAUUCUCCUAAGUCAUUUUUCCAUUUCGUUUUUCUGUCACGGGCUUGGAGCGGUUAAGAGACUGCGGCUCCCAGCAUGCGGUACGUUACUGAUUCAGGGCAAAAUCAAGUAUGUUACUACAUGCUUCUCAAACUAGAGAGGCACAGCCCCAAUUCUGCACUGGCAGGAUACAAAACAGCAGAAUAUUGGUGAUACAUCUUCCUGGAGCAUCAGUUUUUCUAUGAGAUGUGGAAGAAAUGGAAUUAAGUAGUUUACAAGAUGUGGCGCCUCUUCCCUGAGUGGAGUAUCCAGAUGACUCUAGUACAAGGACUCACCCCUGACUUCUUCACACCCGCCAUGCAAUCCCACAGUAAGUCUUGUGGCCCUGCCUGCAGCACGCAUCCUGAUUGCAGCCUCUUCUUGCUCUCUGCGUUUCUACAGCCAGUUUCAGCCACCUUCGUCACUUACUGGCCUGCUGCCCAAGACUACCUCCAAACCUUCUCCUUGCUGCCCCUCUUGCCCUCCCACAGUCCAUUCUCCACUCAGCAUCCAGAGUGAUCUCUUAAAAACAUGAAAAACAUGAUAUACCCCCACAGCCCCAUUUAGACCCUACCACUGGCUUCUCACUGUGAUGGAAUAAAAGCUUACACAUUGGCCUGA